AAUGAACGUUGGCGGCAUGGAUUAGGCAUGCAAGUCGAGCGCGAUGAGUCAUUUGCUUGCAUUUGACUCGGAAAGCGGCGUAAGGGUGAGUAACGCGUAGUUACCUGCCUCCGGGUCCGGAAUAGCUGCGGGAAACUGCAGGUAAUGCCGGAUAACAUCUCAGGAUCAAAGGUGAGAUUCCGCCCGGAGAGGGGACUGCGUCCUACUAGCUUGUUGGUGGGGUAAUGGCCUACCAAGGCUCCGAUGGGUAGCGGGCGUGAGAGCGUGGCCCGUCACACUGGGACUGAGACACUGCCCAGACACCUACGGGUGGCUGCAGUCGAGAAUCUUCGGCAAUGGGCGAAAGCCUGACCGAGCAAUGCCGCGUGCGGGAUGAAGGCCCUCGGGUUGUAAACCGCGAAAGUAAGGAGGAAGGACCUGCGAAGAGCAGGUUUUGACCGAUCUACAGUAAGGACGGGCUAAGUUCGUGCCAGCCGCCGCAGUAACAC
rnacentral:rRNA from 1 species